GUCGAGAAUCUUUCACAAUGGGGGCAACCCUGAUGGAGCGACGCCGCGUGGAGGAUACGGUCUUCGGAUUGUAAACUCCUGUCAUGCGUGAACAAGGUUGCUUGGUUAAUACCUGGGCAAAUUGAUGGUAACGCAAGAGGAAGAGACGGCUAACUCUGUGCCAGCAGCCGCGGUAAUACAGAGGUCUCAAGCGUUGUUCGGAAUCACUGGGCGUAAAGGGUGCGUAGGUGGCGUGGUAAGUCAGAUGUGAAAGCCCGGGGCUCAACCUCGGAACUGCAGCCGAUACUGCCAUGCUAGAGUACUGGAGAGGUGACUAGAAUUCUCGGUGUAGCAGUGAAAUGCGUAGAUAUCGAGAGGAAUACCAAAGGCGUAGGCAGGUCACUGGACAGUUACUGACACUGAGGCACGAAGGCCAGGGGAGCGAACGGGAUUAGAAACCCCGGUAGUCC
rnacentral:rRNA from 1 species